GUGCUCGCUUCAGCAGUACAUAUACUAAAACUGGAAUGAUACAGAGAAGAUUAGCAUGGCCCCUGCACAAGGAUGACACCCAAUAGCUUAAUGCUACCUCCUGAAGAU
ensembl:snRNA U6 U6 spliceosomal RNA